AUGGCCAUCACCAGAACCAUUCUCCUCGCCGUGGCCGCGAUGGCCAUCAUGAGCACCGCCUCGGCUGCAAUCUACAAUGUUGGCGAGCCCGGCAGAGCGUGGGACCACGGCACCAACUACAGCACAUGGGCGUCCUCCAGGAACUUCCAACCCGACGACCAGAUCGUCUUCAAGUACUCCCCUCAGGCGCACGAUGUCCUCGAGGUCAGCAAGGCCGACUACGACUCAUGCAGCACUGCGACCCCCAUUGCCACCCUCAACUCCGGGAAUGAUGUCAUCGCCCUUACCGUCACUGGCACCCGCUACUUCAUAUGCGGCUUCCCUGGCCAUUGUCUCGAAAAUAUGUAUUUGUAG
rnacentral:rRNA from 1 species